rnacentral:piRNA from 1 species
CCCCGAAGACCAUCAAGCCACCCCCGA